AAAGUUGUGUAUUCCAAACAAAAGAAAAAGAUUGUGAAAAUUAUGAUAAUUCAACAUGUGUCAAAAGUUCAUGAGGAAGAUGAAAAUAUUUAGAGGAAAAGAAAACUGAAAACCUACCAAGAUUUUGUGACAGAAAGUGUGAUGAGAUCUCAGGUUGGAGACGGUAAUGAUACGCUUAAAGUAUGCCCCAGAUCGACAUAGUGGAGGAGGACGAAAGAAGCUAGAAUACUAAUGAAGAUACAUGAACAUUGCUAUUUAUAGUUAUAACAAAAUAUUCAGAAUAUUGUUCCAUUUAACAUUCAGAUCUAGAUUCAGUUAUAAAAUACAAAGACAAAUAUACAUUUAGUGAGUUGGAUAGAUGAUUGAAAAAUCCCAAACUCAGAGUGAUCAGUUCAGUGGUGAUAUAAGAAAAAACACAUGCAUGGAUGUUUGCUAUAUAAAAUGUCAGUGUUAAUAUUCAAGAAGGAUUUUGU